UGUGUGGAUUGAUGGAAUUAAGCAGCACGAAUGAGAUGUGGCCCCAGGCAAGUACAACCAACCCAUGUGUUCAUUUUCUCUUUAUUUAUUUAUUUUGACUCUCUAUUUGAUGUUGAACACUGACAACUGUAUCUCAAAGAUUCCUACCUCCAACACAAAGCAACAAAUAUGUUAAUUCCACCAUUUUUGUUGGGUAGCUAGCUACCUUCAUUGUAACAUUAUUUUAAAGGGAAUUUUAAUUUUUUGUUUUUUAAUCAUCCUUUUGCACCUUCAUUUAUUUUUUGAAAUAGAAUUCUUUUGUGUAUCCUUGUUAUUCUUUUUUCUGAAUAAUAUUUCCAUCUCUGCCAAAACGAAUAGUUUUCUAAAAAUUGUUUUUGCUGAAUUGUUCAUUGAUGGAUGUCCAUUAAUUAGGGAGAAGUACAAAAAGGAGGGAGGAGAGCGUUGGCAUUCGAUUCGUCACAUCCCUAAAGUGUAUAUUGACGGAGAGCCCCUGGCAAGUACAAACCUUGUGUUAAUUUUCUCUUAAUUAUUAGUAAUUCAUUUUGGACAUAAUUAAUAAUAAGACUCUUUAUUUCAUGUUAGAACAGUCACAACUGUGAACUGUGACCUCUUUGGUGUACAAAGUUUUUUUAUUUAAUAUUGUUAAAGCGAUUAAUGAUUAUUGUAUCAAAUGAAUGUCUUACUACUUUGUUGUACAAAGUUUCUUUAACUGUUGAGAUACUAUUACUCUUUAAUUUAUAUCUAGACUAAGAUGUUUUCCAUGAAAUAAUUCAUGUAUCCUCUUGUUUUCCCAUGUGAGGAUGGAUGAUGGCAUCAACCACCUUUAUUUUAAUUUGGUUUCCAGUUUUCCAUAACCUUGUUAUUCUAUUUUCUGCUUUAAAAAGGGAAUACAAUUUAUUCAAAUAGAAGUAUUUAUGAAUGUCUUCUGAAAACAAUAGUGUUUUUUUAGAAUCUCAGAAGACAUAUGCAGAACAAUAGUGUGAGGAUGGAGAACACCAUAUUUUGCUCAGUAUUGUCCAGAGCUUUCCAUAGUAGGGUUGUUGGCAUACAAUGCACCAUAUCUGAGAUGUUUAUGCAGGCANNNNNNNNNNNNNNNNNNNNNNNNNNNNNNNNNNNNNNNNNNNNNNNNNNNNNNNNNNNNNNNNNNCUGUGUUCUGUGACCACAACAUACCCUUGCCACCGCCAAUGCCAUGAAACACAUGCAGGAUUCUGUUGCAGGUCCCUCAUUUGAAUAGGUGAAUGAUGAAUUUCUUUCAUAACCGUUACAUUAAAUAAAAACUGUGUAAAUUAAACAAUGAAUUUGAAUAGCACAAAUAAGAUGCCGCAGGCAAGUACAACCCAUAUAUGAUACGUUGUUAAAGUUUCCUUAACUAGUAAUUUUUGUUUUGGGGCAUACUGAACAGUAGCAAGUGUGAUAUGUGAUCCUCAUCACAAGUUUUGCAUAACAUACAACUUAUAGAUUAUCUAAUUUCAGUUCUGCAGCCAGAAAUUACUAACGAUUAGUAUGCUGUAUUUUUUUACAUAAAACUUUAACCACAUGCUGUUAUAUCUGAUAUGUUUGUUGAAAUAAAAAGGUCUUUACAACAUGCUGCUAUAACCACAUUCUGGACAUACGUGUGAUUAUGGACAUUCAUGUUUGUCGUAUAUUGUUCUUAGGUCACAUUAUAGAAGUAUUUAUGAAUUUCUUCUAAAGACAAUGAUCUGUUUUAGGACUUACGAAGAAGAAAUCUGCAUUAACAUCCGGAGAAGAAAUCUUUGGAACAUACUCUCAAGGAUCAAGUCAUAUAUCUGCAUUUUUUUAGCUUCCAGAUGUAACACAUAACCAUUCUGCAUCAUUUUUUGAGAACAAGUUUGUUAAUGAUGAUUGAAUCANNNNNNNNNNNNNNNNNNNNNNNNNNNNNNNNNNNNUGAAUUACUUUUUCUGAGUUUGUGAAAAAAAUUAUCUAUCUGAAUCACUGUGUCAGAUGUUUGUGAUUUGUACUAAUUAACAUGAUAAUUAUAGGAUUCCUUAACACAAACUUCUUGUAAUAUUGCUGCUACAGUCUUAAUAAUCUUUUCUGCAUACUGUGACACCUUUUUUUGUAAUAUAAAUUGCAUCACAUCAUCU
rnacentral:lncRNA from 1 species